UUCACAUCUUCAAGAAUCCUCUAAUUCUCUCUGUACUAUAUUGUUACCUUUUGAUGAUUAUUAGGGCUUGAUUAUUCACUAAUCAAUUUUUCCGAGGUUAAUUGAGCUUAAUCGAUCACUGUUUCUUAUUUCUUUCGCAGGAGGAGAUAGAGUAUGGCCUUUCCAAUGUAAGGAUUUUUUAUUUAUUUUUUUUCAAUAUUAUAAAAUGGUUUGGAAAUUAUUGUGUAGGAAAGACCGCGGGAUCAUUUGGAUAUGAGACAUAGACUGGAUUCUAAAGGUCAACGUAAAGGAAAGGUAAUUGACUACAGGUAGACUCGAAAAGAUAUGAAUGGGUUAGAGUGGAUAGCUGGGACAAUCUUUCAGGUAAUCGAUUGGUGUUUUUCGUGUUUGAUGUAAGACAAUGUGAAUGAUGGUAGGACUAUGACCUCUGGCUUACUCUUGCAAAAGGAGUGGUAGCUCAGUUGUGAUGUCCACUAGCCUAUGAGUUCAUGUGAGUUUAAAUUUUGAUGGAAAGCUGGAAACGAAGAUCUUGAUGCCCCUAUAAUGGCAAAGGAAUUCUAUUCAAGCAUAAAUUUUGUAUCCUGUCUUCAGGGAGUUUGUUUCAAGUUCUAUAUUCUUUCUUCAAUGAUUUUGUUUUCUUUCUUAUAGAGAAUGGGAUUGGAACACCAAAAGAGUUUCUUAUCCUUGCUUUUCUAGGAUGUGGAAUUACUUCCUUUUCCCUGGUGAACUGGCCCACCCUGUUAGUUGUGAUGCUGAUGACAAGCAAGAAGCCAAGGCAUAUUCAAAAGAUUUAUCAUCUUAUUGUGGAAGGUGAGAUGGCAAAUGGUUUGGCCAUCCCUCUCUUUUUCGCUCAUUGCAAAAUACACUUCAAUGGCUUUGUGAUUUGCACUCAUAUUCCAAGGAUGUUAAUGUCAUCUAGUUUAUGGCUUACCAAGUCUAACCUGUAUGUUUAAAAUGGGACAGGUUAUUGGAGGAAACUGAAGAUGAGUUGGCAGAACUGAUAAAGAAAGGAUCCGUGAAAGUAGGACGUUUGAGCAAGAUUCUAUGCCAGGAUUUGAGCAAGCACUGUAAGCAGUCAAGUGAUUCCCAUGAGGUGGAUGCUGACGAUGAUGA